AGUCAAGUGGUUUAGUGGAAAGAACAUUGCAUUAAAAGGCAACAGGCCUGGGUUUUUUCUCCAGCUUCACUA
rfam:Cricetulus griseus cell line CHO-K1, whole genome shotgun sequence.